CAGACUAUAUUUUCUAGGAUCAUUUCUAUAGUUCCAAAACUUUGAAAUGGGAUUUGAAAGUGUUGUGUCUCCCUACCCACGUUGAUGAGUUGUGAUGUUUUCUUCUGAGUAUGAGUCAGAGUGAGAACUAUGAGUAAAUUCGUAGGUUCUCUGUCACCACUGGAAAAAGAAGCGUGGAAGAAUCGAGCAUGUUCAGAGUGGU